rnacentral:rRNA from 1 species
AACGAACGCUGGCGGCAUGCCUAACACAUGCAAGUCGAACGAGACCUUCGGGUCUAGUGGCGCACGGGUGCGUAACGCGUGGGAAUCUGCCCUUGGGUUCGGAAUAACUUCGGGAAACUGAAGCUAAUACCGGAUGAUGACGUAAGUCCAAAGAUUUAUCGCCCAAGGAUGAGCCCGCGUAGGAUUAGCUAGUUGGUGAGGUAAAGGCUCACCAAGGCGACGAUCCUUAGCUGGUCUGAGAGGAUGAUCAGCCACACUGGGACUGAGACACGGCCCAGACUCCUACGGGAGGCAGCAGUGGGGAAUAUUGGACAAUGGGCGAAAGCCUGAUCCAGCAAUGCCGCGUGAGGGAAGAAUGCCUAUGGGUUGUAAACCUCUUUUUCAGGGAGGAAUCAAAUGACGUGUACCUGAAGAAUAAG